rnacentral:lncRNA from 1 species
CUCAAUCAUCUUGACUUUAAGAAAUCCAGACUCAAAAGAAAAGGAGCACUAGUACAAUUAUGAGUGCCUAUGAUUCACAAGAACAGCUCUUUUAUGUUGGCUGUAAUAAUGCCAUUCUGGGUAAUGGACCAGACAGAAAGGAAGAAAACGCAGGACCAGAAGAGCCACAAACAACAUUUCAGGAUCAGCGUAACGGUUGCCAGAACAUGAAAAAUCGCAGAGCUUCCAGGCCCUGAGCCAACCUUAUUCAGGACUCAGGGGGGAAAAAACCAGUCUGGGUAAAUUCUCAGUGUAAACUCCUAGGGGAGCACAUCGCUAUGUCA